GGCUCCGACCCAGGUCGUCGCAGCAGCACAGGAAGCUGUAACACAGCAGCCGCCGCCUAGCGGUAGACUGCUCCCCGGGGAGCUGUCCAGGGUACCAGAGGGUCGCCGAGGGCUGAGUGAGGAGGGCUUCUUCACACAGAGACACUAGGAGGAGGAAACAGAGUACAAGGAGAACGUAUCCAGGAGCAAUUCCACUUCGAAUGAUUCCUAAGUGAAUGCCUACAGGACAGUUCUCGGUGACCAUGUCCAGAACAGGCAUAAGUGACGAUCCCCAGUACUUCCCUGAGGGACCACACUGGUACCUUGGAUCAGAACCCUGCAUCAGAACAGGCCUAAAUGGCCAUGGCUAAGAACACGGCUGAGUUGUCCUUCAACAGCAAUGCCAAUGCCAAUUCACCAUGUCCGAGUGUUCACAAGGCUCCUCUCCUGGAUGUAAGCUAAUUUGUCUAUGUCUCUUCUAAAAUCUCACACCUGGGACUGCGCGAGGAAUUUCAGAUAUGGAUUGAAAAGUUCAACAGGACUCUCACCUCUCUUUUCUUCAAGAGAUGCUUCAAAAUGCAGUCUUGAUUCUGGAUGGCUGUAUGCCUGGCUAACACUUUGAGAUUUUGGUAUCAAGAAAGAACUAAAGAAUGGUUAUGGAGGACAACUAGUAAUCCUUGCCAUCCUUGGACAAACAGUUUUCCCUCUUUUAUUCCCAUGUGGUUUGUAUGGGUUGAACAUAGUUCAAAGACAGGCAUAUGACCAAGCCUGACAUCAUCACUUUCUAAUUAUAUUUCAAGAACUGAAAGUAACUCAAAUCUUUCUAGUGAGAAUAAACCACACAACAUUUGUGAAAACUAUUGGAAAAGAGAAACUUCUUUUUCUGAGAUGAUGAAUUAAUCUAAAAUAAGCCUGAAGCUUCCAAUGGUCAUCUCUGCUAUCAAGAGGAGAAACCAACAAUAAAGCCAACAAAGAGGAGAGCAGAACUGAUGGAGGGAGAAUUAGAUUCCUGAUAAUAUCCUUUGAACCUCUGAAUCUAGCCAUGCGGAAUGCAUGGACCCUGGACUUUAUUGCUGCAGUGAUUAGCUAUCUUUCUGUUAGCACUUGCAACUGAAAGAGUGCUGACCAAUACAACAAACAAACAAAAAGAGUUGCUCCCUCCGUUGCAAGGAAUAGAUACCAUUUUAAUAAAAAGUGUUGGAGGUGGGGGGGCUUAUUUUGAAGGAUAUGCAUGUAUCAGGACUGCAACCCUUCCAAAUUUGAGACAGUCAUAGGAUCCAGUUACUUUCUUCAACUUCUCUACUUUUCUUGUAUCUUAUUUAUUUUGCUUCUCAUUCUUAACUGCCAUUGCUCUUUAUUUAUGAAACAGUAAGGGUUACUAGAAGUGAAAAAAAGAGAUUUGGGAUAUCUUACACAGGAAAGGAACUUUGGGGUAGCUCACAAAAUUAAGAAGAAGGCUGGAGAACUGGGCUCAAAUAGAAUAGCAACCAAAGAGCACAUUACACUCUCUUUCUUUUCUUUUUCUGAGUCCAUUUCUCUUUCACAUUAGCAUUCUCUUGAAUCUUCCUUCCCACUCUAAUGCCCUGCAUUCAAGACUUUGAAUUUAAAAUCAUAAAAUAGGAAAUUUUCUUCCCCUUCAGUCUUUGGGCCUAAUCAAGCCUUGUUAUUCAGUUUUAUUUCAGUGUGUAAGCUUCAAAUCUGUUCCCUAAAGCAGAGUUUUGCAAAAAUGUGAGAAAAUGUCCCAAAGAGGGUGACUCCUAUGAGGCAAAGGACAGUGAAGUGGAGCCACAUGGUCUGCAGGGUCUGUGAGGUACAAAGUUUGCAUCUGAAUCAGAGGAUGUGCAUAUAUCUGCUACAUUUAGGAAAGAGGUUGAGAGCGAGAAUGAGAGAUUUCAGUUGUGCUUCAUUCUUUGGAUAAAAUCAGAGGGUAAAAGCUCAAGGGGCUUCCAGAUACUGCCUGUAGAAAUGAUCCAAAUCUAGAAGACCGGAGACCUGGUUGAUUUUUAAGAACUCUAUAAGAUUCCAAACGCUUUGUUAUUCUCCAUGUAGGUGACUUCUGUUUUUGCCAGAAAUAAUAGGUACCAUUUAUUGAGCAUUUACUCGCAUCAUGGACUGGUGCAUUUAGAUGCAUUACUUAAUUUAAUAGUCUCAAUAAACCAAUAAAGUAGGCAUUAUUAUUAUUAUCCCUAUUUUAUAAAUAAGGAAAGUCUCAAGUAGGUUGAAUUUUCCAUGUUCUACAGAUGUUACAGGCUGAGGGAGGGGGAAAUUAGUUCAAAAAAAGCAUUAAUGUGGAGAUCCAGGAUCAGGUUUACUCAUCUUAUAAUCUUCUUGUGGGUCAGUACUGUUUAGCACCUCCACCUCUUAUCCUGCAUUAUUUAAACCACACUAUCUUAUCUCACCCAACCUUACCAUCUUGUCUUCUUCAUGCAACUGUGAACUCCUUGGGGACAGGGACAAAAUGACAAGUUCCAACUCAGUCUAGCUCUUGGAAUUUGGGCUUCAUAUUCAUGUUGGGACUCCUCCCUUGGUUUCUUUAUCCCCUUCUCCUUCUUCGAUGGACCACUAACUAUUACCCACGUUGGGGCUUCCAAGGAAGAACUAACAUUUCAUUUCCAAAUAUAUCCAGCAUGGAUUAUUUGUAAUGGCAAAGAUGAUACUAAGCCUGUUCACUUGCACAAUAAUACAGUAGGGCUGACCUAGUAAUGCACCCUCUCCCCUAAUUUUCCUUUUAUCUGGAAGCAGAUAAAAAUGACACUACUGAACCAGAGGUGAGCACAAUUGUCAUCAAUUUUCUAAAAAACAGACCUUAAUGGUAUAGGAUGGAAUGAAUGGAAGAAUAUCUAGCUAUAGAGAACAAUAUAGGGAGAUAUCUUUAUUGUUUUGUACUGAUUUUUUUGUUUCCCUUUAACAUUUUUGUUAUAUAGGUAAUAUAUCUUCAGUGUAGAAACAAUGAAAAUACUGAGAAGAAAAAAGAAAAAAGGUCCUCUAAAUCAUAACACCCAGAAAUAACUAUUGCUAAUAUUUUAUUUACAUCCUUCCAAUUAUAAAUGUAUUUGUAUGUUUGUUUGCUUAUGGCUCAGCCCAUACCUACUGUUUUGUAAAGUUUUGAUUUUUUUCAGCUUUGUAAUAGUGUGACUCUAUUCCAUGCCAUUAAACACAGACUUAUGUAAUAAUGAGCCUAGUACUUUUAGAAAGAGAAAAUAACUUUAUACUGAAAAUGCUAGAUGUAAGGAUGGUGUGAGUCUGCAGCUACCACGAAUGGAGAAAAUCUAACCUGCAUGUGCAUUAACUCAGUACAGAAGUAAGCAGAGUGACAGUGAAAGGCUGUCUUGAAAUAAUGCUUGAAUCCCUGGAUCCAGUUUUGCCUAAAGCUCUCUCUUUAAGAGUCAGUAAAGCAUAGUGGUUAGGAGUGCAGUCUCUGGAAGCAGACUGCCUCGGUUCAAAUCUUGGCUCUGCUGCUAGGAUUUAACAGGGUAAUAAAUGUCAUUCACUUAGAACACAGUCUGGCUAACAAUAGGCCCUCAAUAAACAUUAGCCAUUAUCAUGCUGAACAUUUUUCAAUUACAUCCAUCAAUAAAUUUUUUUGGCUUAAGCCAUUUCGACUGAUAUAGAUAUGUACUUUUCAACUAGACAUACAUCUUUUGACCAACUUGAAAAUUUUAUUAAAAACAAAAUAAAAUCAUUUUCUGUUCUCAGUAAUCACUUAAGACCCCUCUUGCUUUGAAUCCAAUGUAUCUCCUUGGUAUUUUAAAUGUUUCUAGGGAAGAAACCAAAUAUCCUCUCUGGACAUAGCUCAUGGCAGGUGUUCAAUAAGUGCUUAUUGGAUAAAUAGACAGAUAAUACCUUCAAACACCCCUUUGCCUGAAGGACAACAAUUUUAGCCAUGAGGACAUGGUACAACUUAUCUUAAAGGACCAAAUUCUCUGUUUAUUGAUCACCUCCUUCAUGUCCUCUCUUCCCUCUUUAUUCAGCCAAGAUUCCAUGGAUAAACACGGUAAUCAACUUUUCGCUUAUAACCAUCAACUCCUUGACCCUCUCUCACUGUGCUGUAUUUCUUGGGUUAAGAUCAACUUUCUUCCCACUCAAUGUCUGCACCCGCACAACCGAACACAGCGAAUGUACAAGCAUGACGACUAGUCUCACUUAAAAUUCAUCAUUUCUAUUCUCAAGAGGGCCCUUAACACUUCCUAGCAAUCAUACUAUGUUUCCUAGUCCAUUCAUUCUCAGGCUGUAUAUAGCUACUUAGCACCCUCCCUCCUCUUUGCAAACCUCUAACGCUUUCUCCACUAUCCCCAUCAGCCAAUGGCCUUGCCUUUACUUUACUGGUAAAAUAGAAGAAAUCAGAAGAGAAUUUUUACGACCACCUCUACUCACCUACCUGCAUCUGUGUUCAUAUACUUUAUUUUCUCUCUUGUUAGUAUGAUUUUGUUAUGGUCUGUUUGUUUUUUUAUUUUUUAAUUUUAUGAGUACACAGUAGGUGUAUAUAUGUAUGGGGCGCAUGAGAUGUUUUGAUACAGGUAUGCAAUAUGUAAUAAUCACAUUAUGGAGAAUGAGGUAUUCAUCCCCUCAAGCAUUUAUCCUCUGUAUUACAAACAAUCCAGUUGCACUCUUUUAGUUAUGUUUAAAUGUACAAUUAAGUUAUUAUUGAGUAUAGUCACCCUGUUGGGCUAUCAAAUAGUAGGUCUUAUUUAUUCUUUCCAGCUACUUUUUCG
rnacentral:lncRNA from 1 species